CGUCGCUCUCCCCCCCUUCACUCAACCAGGUGAUUGCGUGGGGGGUGCGGAAGAUGGCCUCCCGUGCGCUCGUUCGCUCGGCCGGCCUAAAUGUGUCGCGUUCCUUUGCAUCGGACGCCACGAGCAAUGGUGGUUGCAUCUGUCGACUUCGCAUGCUGUGGCGGCGAUGGGAACGGGUGAUGAUCCCCUUGUGGCGAGGCGGGGCACUAGUUGUCAAGCCUCUCGACC
rnacentral:misc_RNA from 1 species